GAGCAUAUAAAAACAAGUUGUUGAUAAACCCAUAAUCAUAUCCAGGAAAUAUAAAACGGCAUAUAUUUCCUUCUCAUUUAAGGACCUGGUAAAACCCUUGUAAGAGAAUUAAACUCUGGCUAUGUUUGAUCGAGGAUCUGGAUUCUUUCUAUGUUGUUUCAUUUCUGCUGAGUCUUUUCUGUGUCCCACGCAAUUCUCUCCUCAUGCAAGUAUGUUUUGAACUGUCACUUCUUGUAGCAGCCCCUUUUCUGAUUAUCUGUGGAAAGAAUCUCCACAUCUGCAUCUGGAAUUGCUCAAAGGUCACUAUGGAUCUGAGAAUGCUGUCUGGGCUUGGUGCCAAGGGCUGGUAUUUCACAGCAGCGACCGCCUCACAGACGAGCUGUGGGAAGCAGGAGGGAGACUCUCUCUUAGGGUGCCACUACUAUGGAGACACAGCUGGGCUGAACAAGAUUUGCUUCAAACGACAACAAGAGAGACAGAAAAUAUCUGGUUCAACCGCUGCCCAAGCAGGCAGGCACCAGAAGAGCUAGCAGCCAAUCCGGCCAUGCUCGAAGCCAGCUCUGCAGCUCAGCCAAUCAGUGACAUCACUGGUGAGAAACUCAUUUACAUCAUGCAGUAAUGAACUUUGUUUAACAUAGCCUCCCCCUUUCCUGUUACCCCCCCCCCCAUAUUAGGUCCUUCCAUUAAUUAUUCUGCUGGCAUAAUUUAAACCGCUAUGUAAAAAUGUGGCUACAUUCUCUCUGGUAGCUUUUACUUUUUCCCCCCACUGGUGCCUGCAGUCACUGGAAGUGUUUCUGCGUACAAUUCUAUUUUAUUUUGACCUUACAAAAAUUAUCUUCUCUUUCUUUAAAAAAUGACAUUUGAAACAAAAAUACAGCGCUUGUUUAUUUUAUCUAAUUCCUUUUCUCAUGAAUACAUGCUUUCUCCAAAUUGGGAUUUAGACAUAUCCAAGGUAAUAGAGAAAAGGGGGUGCAUCGCCAUGCAAGCUGCAGUUUUUCCAAGCAAUCUGCAUCUUAGAGCUUCCUUUAAUGUUUCCAGAUUUUGUGCUGCAGUGGCCAUUUUACAUACAGUGCUUUAUCCAAAAAGCACUUAUGUGCAUCUGUCACAUGGAGGAAAGUUCACUCUUACUAUAUUUCAUUCUUCACUGCUCUCAGCCAACAUGUCAUUUUAUUAAUGAAUAGAACUGAGGUCAUUUCUGGACAAAUCUUCCCCUUCCCAUCGCAGCACAAUGCACCUGAUUUGCAUCCAUUUACUAGAAAUGCUGAAUACAAGAACCAGCUUGAAAAGAAGUUGAGGGACCAGCUUACAUAUUAUUUCAGAAUAUGUUGUAGCAAAGCAGUUUGUUUUUCAGAAAGCCUAGUGUUUAACAUCUGCCUUAGUGUUUCUAUAAAUGUGCCUGAUCUCCAUUCACAAUGUAAUACCUCUAGCAAAUUUAUGGGGUUGUUAUAUAACAAAAAUAGACCAAAGGAAAUAAUAUUCAUGGAUGAGUUCAUUUAUCUACAGGAAAUCUUUGGAAACACAAUUUUUUUCUUGUGCAUUUGUAUUUAGCUCGUCAGGGUUAAAGUCUGUUGUAUAGAUAACUUAAAGAAGCUGUAACAUGUGGCAUGUGAAGAUUUCAGGUUGCUUUAUAGAAUCCCAAAGAGUGAAAGUAGGUCACAUUUCAAUGCAAUUUCUAUUAAGUCAUAUCCUUAUGGCAUUACUGGCAUUAAAGGGAUACAGUUUUGUAGCAUAGAAGGUGAAGUUUCAUUGUCUUAUUUACAGAAACCUUUGAAUAUAAUUAUCCAAAGACUUGGAAAUUUAAAAACAUUGACAAAGGUUUCAUCACAGUGCAUGAUUCAUUUAAGAAGCUUAAAGAGUACAAUGAUAGGCAUAUUCACUUUUUAAAGCAUAUGAAGGAUUUAGAUUAGAAACCAUGGCUCUUUUAAUUCAUGUGGCAUUCCAUCAUCCCAUCAUCAGUAUUCAGGGGGUGACUGUCCUGAAUCAGUCACGAGCUCCCCUGCUGCAGAUCCUGUAAUUUGAAUCAUGUGUAAUAAUAUAUUAUCCUACUGGGGACCUUCUUUCAGUAGGAGAAUGGUUUAUACAUUCUAGUAUAAGGGAACUUUUGGCUUCUAGCCGACUCACAGCCAUUACUCACAUAAGCAAUCACGAUCGUCUUCCUUAAGGAAUAACAUCUGCACUAUCUCCUGAGCCAAAAAUCUGCAACCUCCCCCAUGUUAUGAAUUAUGAUUUCUUAGAAUUGAGAAAACUUGACAAACUGAAGUAGAAAAAUGGAAGGUUAAAGAAAUGGAUCAAAAUUUUAUUGAGCAUGCCAUAUGGCAACAGCGCAAACUCCCAUUCCUUUGAAAUGAUGGAGAAUGGGAUGGGGAGGAAAAGGGAUAAAAACACACCUAGAUGUGUUUGAUUUUUUGGACACAGUGAAAAGUAGUGUGUUUUAAAAUGAGAACAUGGAUGCCUGAGUGAUUUUCUGUGGACAUCCUACCUAAGUCCUGUAAAGGGUGUGCCAUGUAGAGGGAUAAGUGGGAGGUACACAUCACUGUGAAGGCACAGAAAUUGUGUCAUCUAGGAAAGAAAGACAUCUUAUAUUGCAGGAAUGAUCCUGACCUAGAAGUUAAUUCUAGUAAUGGUUCUGCUCUUCCUUGUGUUAUGACCUUGACCUUGAUCAAAUCACUUAAUUUCUUUUCAUUUUUCUUAUCUAUGAAAAUUAAAUCCACUGCCAGCACAGAGUUAUUUUCUCUUAAGUGGACUGCCCUUCCUUCUUUUAAAAGUUGAAAUCUUUCUUUGCUUCAAGGACCAAGUUAAAUCUUUCCAAGUAAUUAUGACCAGAAUCUCUCACUUCUACUUUUUCCUUUGCAUCUCCAUUAUUGUAUGUGUGGCAGUCAAUACUGCUGUUGGAACACUGUAUGCAUAUCUUUGUCACUAGACUGAAAGCUCCCUGGAGACAGACAUCACAUUGAAUUCAACUUCCAUCUUCAGCUCUAAGACUAAUGAAUUUUGCUCCUAAGUUUUAAAUCCAUUUUUAAUUAGUUAUAAGUACAUUGCAAAUUGUAGAGAAUGGGUUAUACAAAUAGUUGCCAACUAUUACAACCAGGUGCCCAUGAAUGUCAGCUUAAUGUUAUUAAUGCUAUGUUUUUCAUUUCAAUACCCUCUCACAAUAAAGCUCAGCAUAAAUGAUUGCUGCAUUUUUUUCUGAAUAACUAGUUGUAGAAAAAUGUAACUAAUUUUCUUUUUUAAAUGUGAAAUUAAGCCAUCUUAGCUUGGAAUUUUCAAACUUGAAAAUAUAGGUAAUUCAUGUGGAUUAAUUCCAAAGAAACCAUGAUGAGCAAAUUGCACUAUCCAGCUCUAAUGUUAAUUAUAUGAAGAAUUAAUUACUUGGAAGAGUUAAGCAAUUAAUGUCAAAUGUUGAAAUGGUCUAUGAAUCAUAAAAAGUCAGAAUAUUUGGAAUUUUCUGUUAUAUUUUUCGUGUUAUAGUUGAUGUAUGUAUUUAAAUCUAUAAAUGAGUAUGAUGUUUUAGGAGUGUAUUUUUGCAUGUUUUGAGUAUAAUCUUAGAAUGUCAAAAUGUGGUUGAUUUUGUGUUAAGUUUACUUUUGGCUACUAUACAACUGCUAAGUUAAGAUUAAUUUCUUGACAAAAAUGAUAUUAAUUUGUUUGCAAAAUUGUAUUCACAUUUAAAAACUUCUAUUUCAAACUGAUUGCCUCUACACUGAUGAAAAGGAAAUGAAAUAACUAGAAAACAUAUACAUCUUUACUUUUAUUUCAAGAAAAAUAGAAAUUUUAGAGCUAGGAAUUAGCUAAUGUCUAUAUUUUGUAAAAAUCUUAAAAAAGGAAGAGUAUAUUAUUCCAAUGUAUGUACUUUCAGGUUCCUGAGAUUGGAAUCUAGAAUUUAGAAAGACUGGAUCGAUGUAUUCUCACUCUAUGAAAAUAAACUUCACUUUUAAAAUAAGUCAUAUUAGACUGUACAGCUUUAUAUUAGUAAUAUAAAUUAUAUUCACUUAUGUUUUCUAAUACUAUAUGUAGAGUUUCUACUUUAUAGAUGAAAAAAGAAGACUGGAUCUUACUUAGGUUGUGUUUUUCUACUAUCCUACAAUAAUGUAGUCAGCUGUUGAUAUAUUGUCAUUUAUAUUAGUAUUCAUUACAAAUAAUUCUUAUUUUGAUGAAUAAUAGAAACCUAAUGUCUGGUUUCACUUUGCGAUGGUUUUGAAUUAAUUUAACAUGUAUAUUAUAUUUUAAAUUAUAGGGUUGGUUAAAUCAACUUAGGUGAGAUCAAUGUCACUUGAUUUUUAAUGGAUAAGUUGUGCUAAUAUUCUUGAUUUUUUUUUCCAUUUUGCCAAAGUUUCUGGUUAUUUCCAUGAUGAUGUAUUUCUUUCUAGCUCAGUAUUUAAAAAUAGAAUUUGGAACCUUUUAAGUACUGGAAAGUAACUUGUGCCCACUUAAGAACAAAUGUCUCUCAAAGACAAGUAGAAAGUGUCUGUCAACCAUCUUUUGUUCAGGAAAUUAUGUUUCAAAGCUUAGAAAGUGAGUAAAUGUGGAAGAUCUUAAAUAAAGGAAAUGUUACUUUACAAGUACAUCACUGAGACAUGGCAUCUGAGAGUUACAUUGUACUUUCUUAAACUUACUGCAGUAAUGAUAAAAAGAUGAAACAUAAUGAAACAUUUCUCCUUAUGUUGGAAACUUUUAAUAUCAUAAUCUAUGAUUCUUAUUCCAAAAUUAACUCUUGAACUAGAAAACUAGGGAUGAAUAUUGGCAUUUAUGCUUACACAGCAAAAUUCCUUAUGUACGCUGUAAUAGUUGAGCUACUUGUGAAAUGGAAAAGAAAUAGAUGACAUUGGACUAAAAAGUUUACAUAUACUGGCAGUGUUUUCUAUUUAACCCCUAAGACAUCAUCAACAUCGAUGGCAGUAUCAAGUGUAUUUAGGUCUAAGUGAAUAUUUUCGUGAAUUGAUGAUACCAUUUCUUGGUGUUAGUAGGUAGUGGCAUUGCUCUAUACUGGGUUGCUGACACAAGAAGAGAAAAAAGAUAAGGAUUAAUGCCUCACAUUCACUGGGGAUAAACUGUAUUCCACACUAUGCACUCUACCAUAUUAUUACAUUUAAUUUUCAAAUCAGUCCAUUGAUAUUAUUAUCAUUCUCACUUUAAGAAAACUGAGGUUCAGAAGGUCAGGCAACUUCUCAGUCACAUGACUAAUAAGCAGCAAAACUGGGAUUAAAACCAAAGUUCCUGACUUGUAAGCCCAUAUUUCUAAUCAUUACACCUAAUCUGAAUAAUCACUACACAAUAUUUUACCAUAUGGUUCUAGGAACAGAAAACAAUUUUCAUACAUUAUAUCUAUAAUAUAAUUUAUCCUGUUCAUUUUUAUAGAUGUUUAUAUAUUUUAUCUUAGUAUUUUAUAAUUCAAUUUGAAAGCUGUUGAAUUCUCAAUAAUAUCUAGGUCAAUAUUUUCCUUAUAAUUUGGUAUUUAUGGAAAGCUUUCAGACCAUUUCAGUAAUGAAUACAAGAGCAAUUUCAAAACAGUAAAGGAUUGUACUAGAUUAAUGUAAGCUCAUGCUAUUAUUAAAAUAUCUUUGAAAGUCUGAAUUACUAAAAAUGAUUAUUAGAUGAAUUGUUCCCAUUUUCUCUUUCCCCUAGAUAUUUAUGUAUUAAAUAUAUCACCUAUUUUAUGAGAAUAUUGGCGAGUGCAGAAUGUCAUUUAACAAUGUCAUUAAAUCCUGACUAUUCAGACAUUUAAGGUAGUUCAGUUUUCUCAGCCCUGAUUGGAUAUCUUCUAUCUAUGACCCAUUGAAACACAUGGGAUGUUAAAAGAGAAGAAUCAUGUAGUUACUGAUCAUGUAAUAAUAAAUUUUAAGCCUAAGGUAGAUUUUCUAGUUUUUAUCUUGUGGUCUAAGGGGCAUAGUCAAAACUUGCUGAAUUUAAGAGAAUCAGUUUAUUUUUGGAAGAGUGAAAAAGAAGAGGGAAUGUAGACAAUUUCUUACCUUCUCUGCUGAGUCAGCAUCCAAUUAUUUUCCUUUCUUGGUAUUUCCAAUUACUUAGGAUUUCUUUCUUAAACCUGUGGUGCCAGAAAACCUUCAGACAAGAAAUCUAGCCUUCUGAACUCCAGAUUC
ensembl:lncRNA